rnacentral:tRNA from 1 species
GUCCGGCUAGCUCAGUCGGUAGAGCAGGAGACUUUUAAUUUCAGGGUCGUGGGUUCGAGCCCCACGUUGCGCG